rnacentral:rRNA from 1 species
UAGUCUACGCCGUAAACGAUGGUCACUAGCUGUUCGGACUUCGGUCUGAGUGGCUAAGCGAAAGUGAUAAGUGACCCACCUGGGGAGUACGUUCGCAAGAAUGAAACUCAAAGGAAUUGACGGGGGCCCGCACAAGCGGUGGAGCAUGUGGUUUAAUUCGAUGAUACGCGAGGAACCUUACCAGGGCUUAAAUGUAGUCUGACAGGGGUAGAAAUACCCUUUUCUUCGGACAGAUUACAAGGUGCUGCAUGGUUGUCGUCAGCUCGUGCCGUGAGGUGUCAGGUUAAGUCCUAUAACGAGCGCAACCCCUGUUGUUAGUUGCCAUCGAGUAAUGUCGGGAACUCUAACAAGACUGCCGGUGCAAACCGUGAGGAAGGUGGGGAUGACGUCAAAUCAUCACGGGCCCUUACGUCCUGGGGCCCACACACGUGCUACAAUGGUAGGGGACAGGAGAGCAGCCACUGUGCGAGCAGGG